CAUGAGAGGAGAGUGCGUAAACUGAGGCGAGGAGUUGUUCAACCCUGAAGAACUUUGUCCUGACAAGGCCUCUCCACCACUUGAAGGAGAUUGCGGGGUUUUGGGAGGUCCACCUUGGGGAAAUGAGGUAGGAAGCUUGACUGCAAUGUGGAUAAGCAUAGCAACUAUUUGGUUUGGGGGAGGAGGUAAAGAGAGUAGCUCAACCACUGCAGUUUCUAGUAACAACUGAUUGUAGGAACCUGGAUCUUGAUGCAGGUAGAAAGCCUUGUUUACUUCUGUAGUAUUGUUGGCAGUACUAGCAGCAGCUUGGUUCCUAUUCAACACAAAGCGGGACGAUAAAAGACCAUCACCACCUGUCGCGCUUGUUCCUGGCUUGCCAUGCAAAGGUGGUAUGACAUUGUUAACCAGACCCACGAGUAGGUUGUGGAAGUACUCGUAUGAGGGACUGCUUCCUGUGUUGAAUGCCUUGAUUUGCUGAAGAAAAGUCUCAGAAAAAGGUAUCUGCAGGACGAUCGCAACGGCCAUUGUAGUUACAAGCCAUAAGAUACUUAUUAUAAAACAACACCAUCAAAGGACAUGUCUAAAAUAAUAUCUAUGAUCAUAGCCCAAUUGGAACGCUAACGGGGAAGCAAUUCAAACCUUGGGUAGGUCCAGACUGCCGAGAAGGCGACGCACAAGCUUAGUCGGCAGAUGCCCAUAAAAGUAAGCAAGUGUAUCCCGGACAAAGGAGAAACGGGUUGGAUGAUAGAAAAUG
rnacentral:lncRNA from 1 species